CGAAUGCUGACAUAAGUAACGAUAAAGCGGGUGAAAAGCCCGCUCGCCGGAAGACCAAGGGUUCCUGUCCAACGUUAAUCGGGGCAGGGUGAGUCGACCCCUAAGGCGAGGCCGAAAGGCGUAGUCGAUGGGAAACAGGUUAAUAUUCCUGUACUUGGUGUUACUGCGAAGGGGGGACGGAGAAGGCUAUGUUGGCCGGGCGACGGUUGUCCCGGUUUAAGCGUGUAGGCUGGUUUUCCAGGCAAAUCCGGAAAAUCAAGGCUGAGGCGUGAUGACGAGGCACUACGGUGCUGAAGCAACAAAUGCCCUGCUUCCAGGAAAAGCCUCUAAGCAUCAGGUAACAUCAAAUCGUACCCCAAACCGACACAGGUGGUCAGGUAGAGAAUACCAAGGCGCUUGAGAGAACUCGGGUGAAGGAACUAGGCAAAAUGGUGCCGUAACUUCGGGAGAAGGCACGCUGAUAUGUAGGUGAAGUCCCUCGCGGAUGGAGCUGAAAUCAGUCGAAGAUACCAGCUGGCUGCAACUGUUUAUUAAAAACACAGCACUGUGCAAACACGAAAGUGGACGUAUACGGUGUGACGCCUGCCCGGUGCCGGAAGGUUAAUUGAUGGGGUCAGCGCAAGCGAAGCUCUUGAUCGAAGCCCCGGUAAACGGCGGCCGUAACUAUAACGGUCCUAAGGUAGCGAAAUUCCUUGUCGGGUAAGUUCCGACCUGCACGAAUGGCGUAAUGAUGGCCAGGCUGUCUCCACCCGAGACUCAGUGAAAUUGAACUCGCUGUGAAGAUGCAGUGUACCCGCGGCAAGACGGAAAGACCCCGUGAACCUUUACUAUAGCUUGACACUGAACAUUGAGCCUUGAUGUGUAGGAUAGGUGGGAGGCUUUGAAGUGUGGACGCCAGUCUGCAUGGAGCCGACCUUGAAAUACCACCCUUUAAUGUUUGAUGUUCUAACGUGGACCCGUGAUCCGGGUUGCGGACAGUGUCUGGUGGGUAGUUUGACUGGGGCGGUCUCCUCCUAAAGAGUAACGGAGGAGCACGAAGGUUGGCUAAUCCUGGUCGGACAUCAGGAGGUUAGUGCAAUGGCAUAAGCCAGCUUGACUGCGAGCGUGACGGCGCGAGCAGGUGCGAAAGCAGGUCAUAGUGAUCCGGUGGUUCUGAAUGGAAGGGCCAUCGCUCAACGGAUAAAAGGUACUCCGGGGAUAACAGGCUGAUACCGCCCAAGAGUUCAUAUCGACGGCGGUGUUUGGCACCUCGAUGUCGGCUCAUCACAUCCUGGGGCUGAAGUAGGUCCCAAGGGUAUGGCUGUUCGCCAUUUAAAGUGGUACGCGAGCUGGGUUUAGAACGUCGUGAGACAGUUCGGUCCCUAUCUGCCGUGGGCGCUGGAGAACUGAGGGGGGCUGCUCCUAGUACGAGAGGACCGGAGUGGACGCAUCACUGGUGUUCGGGUUGUCAUGCCAAUGGCACUGCCCGGUAGCUAAAUGCGGAAGAGAUAAGUGCUGAAAGCAUCUAAGCACGAAACUUGCCCCGAGAUGAGU
rnacentral:rRNA from 1 species